rnacentral:rRNA from 1 species
GGAUUAGAUACCCUGGUAGUCCACGCCGUAAACGAUGGGUACUAGGUGUUGGUCUGCCUUUGGUGGAUCGGUGCCGAAGCUAACGCAUUAAGUACCCCGCCUGGGGAGUACGAUCGCAAGGUUGAAACUCAAAGGAAUUGACGGGGGCCCGCACAAGCGGUGGAGCAUGUGGUUUAAUUCGAUGCAACGCGAAGAACCUUACCUGGGCUUGAAGUGUAACAGCAAUCUGUUGAAAGACAGAGUUCCUUCGGGACUGUUACAGAGGUGCUGCAUGGCUGUCGUCAGCUCGUGCCG